rnacentral:rRNA from 1 species
CGAUAGUGAGAAGCUUGCUUCUCACGAAAGUGGCGCACGGGUGCGUAACGCGUAUGCAACCUACCUUAAUCUGGGGGAUAGCCCGAAGAAAUUCGGAUUAACACCGCAUAACAUCAUUGAAUAGCAUUAUUUAAUGAUCAAAUAUUUAUAGGAUUAAGAUGGGCAUGCGUGUCAUUAGCUAGUUGGCGGGGUAACGGCCCACCAAGGCGACGAUGACUAGGGGAUCUGAGAGGAUGACCCCCCACACUGGUACUGAGACACGGACCAGACUCCUACGGGAGGCAGCAGUAAGGAAUAUUGGUCAAUGGAGGCAACUCUGAACCAGCCAUGCCGCGUGCAGGAAGACAGCCCUCUGGGUCGUAAACUGCUUUUAUUCGGGAAUAAACCUACUUACGUGUAANUAGCUGAAUGUACCGAAGGAAUAAGGAUCGGCUAACUCCGUGCCAGCAGCCGCGGUAAUACGGAGGAUCCAAGCGUUAUCCGGAUUUAUUGGGUUUAAAGGGUGCGUAGGCGGCUUAUUAAGUCAGGGGUGAAAGACGGUGGCUCAACCAUCGCAGUGCCUUUGAUACUGAUGAGCUUGAAUACACUAGAGGUAGGCGGAAUGUGACAAGUAGCGGUGAAAUGCAUAGAUAUGUCACAGAACACCGAUUGCGAAGGCAGCUUACUAUGGUGUCAUUGACGCUGA